AGGUAUUUAGGUGAAGGAACUUUUGACUAUGCUGCACUCCUUAAGGACUGCUCUCACUGAUCACACUGGUCACCCCAGCCGCCGCAGGACUCAGUUCGUAAAAGAGCGCGAUUAACGGGUGAGGGUUAAGGCGUGCCGCGUCAUGGGGUGCAACACCAGUAAAGGACCAAUAGUGGUGGACCCCUCCAAAAAACCAGAGGAGCCCCCGGAGGGAAUGAACUCGGCCAGGAGCUCGGUGGCGGAGGGCAAGGAUGGGAAGGAGAAGGAUAAGAAGAAGUGUGGAAAGGAGAAGGAUGGGAAAGAGAAGGAUGAGAAGGAGAAGGGCUCCAGUUGAAGGCCGGUCAUUCCACCUCUCUUCGGCUUCAUGCUCUCCCAAAGCCUUUCGGCGAUGAAGAUAUGGCAUGGCUGCCCGGAGAGGAAGUGACGAUGCUGGAACACUGACUGUGUGCGAUGUCCUUUAUCGAUAAACCCCUGUUGUUGCUGGAGCUGGACACACCUUCAAUUCAGCACAAUCCCUCUAACAGUCUGUGUGCCAUUUGUAAAUAAAAAUGUAAUAGCUUCCCUGUGAUUGUUGCCAAUCUCGAUCCCUUUCACUGAUUUUACCAAUUCAUAAAUUCAUGGCACAUGCAACGAGAAAAAUGUCAGUUAAUUAGUUGUGAUAUUGUACAGUCCACUGUAAGAAAUGUACUUGCCAGUUAAUUAGAAAUGGGAAGCUAUCAUGGAAGUUUGUGGCAAAGUGUAACAACAAAAUGGUGUCUGUUUUUUAUGAACAUUAAAUGUAAUUGGACAUAAGACCUGCUUGCCAAAAAAAAGUUGUAUUUUUGAUUUGUGCCAUAUAAUAAAUUUUAUGUUGACAUUAGUCCACAUAGUUCACUGUUAAGAUCUACUGCACCUGUUUAGAUUAAUUAAACUGUUCACUUUAAUUUUAGGAAAAAGUUUAAACUGGUUUUGUAUGGUAUGCAUGGGACAGACUUGUUGUAGAGAAGAGUAUUAUAGAAAAUAAUACAAAUGUAGGUUACAUAAAGUCUCCUAUUUUAACUGCAAUCGUGUGGAUGCAAUUCGUCUUCUGAAGUCUAUUGGAUUUUUAUAUACAGGUUUCUUCUAUUGUGGAUGUUCAAAUAAUAAACAAUGACCCUGAACGCAAACAAAAUUUGGGUAGAAAGUUUCUGUUACGUGCCUGAUAUUAUAAUACGCAUAUCAAGUUCAGAAUCCAGAAGAAUGACACAGUUCUGACAUUUUUUUGCCCCCCAGACACACACCCAUACCCACACACACAUUUAGGAUGCCUAAGUGUAUUCAACAGUGUCAAAAGAUAAUCCGUGCUAUCAAUUCAGGGGUCAGGGGAGGACACUUCAUGUAGCCUACAGCUCAACAGGCAGAUUUAUGGCAGACAGUAUGGGGUCACUGGUGCAUGAUCAAAUUCUAUAAUCCCAAUUUCACUUUGCGAAAUGGCAAUUGGACUGUGCUAUUACAAUGGUGGUGAAAAUUCUCACGAAAAUCCAGCCACUGACCCCAACCACUAAUCACCUGUCUGCAGGGCUGCCCAACCCUGUUCCUGGAGAUCUACCGGACUGUAGGUUUUUACUCACUAACAAAGCACACAACAUUAUUCAACAGCUAGAGAUCUCGGGUUGCAAAUUAGUCGAGUCAGUGCCAAAUUAGGGUUGGAAUUAAAACCUACAAGACGGUAGAUAUCCAGGAAUAGGGUUAGGCAGCCAUGCCUACCUGUUUCCAUAACUACAGCCACCUACAUUUAAAGUAAUAUUUGGUUUAAAUUUAAAUAGAUAUCCAAUAUAACUAUACUUUCUUAAAUGUAGUAGUGAAAGUAAUUUAAAUCUUACAUGUAGUCCUAAUUGUGCACACCUGGAAAUUAGGUAGGCUAGCCACAAAACGGUCGAGGUAGCAAAACUGAGAGGUUUGCCCACAAAACUAAUGAAAUGCAAAGGCGUUGCUGAUACAU